UUACUUCACCGGGGGUGUCUGAGGACUCAACAAAGAUGUUGGCCACACAGACUGAGAGAGUCCCCAUGAACCUGAUCUGGGUGAUGCCAGCGUAGGAAGUGUGAUUGAAGCCACAG
rnacentral:ncRNA from 2 species